UAGGGAAUAUUAGAAAUGGACGAAAGUCUGAUCUAGCAACACCGCGUGUGCGAAGAAGGCCUUCGGGUCGCAAAGCACUUUUUGGAAGGAAUAGGAAGGAAUGUACUUCCAGAAUAAGUCUCGGCUAACUACGUGCCAGCAGCCGCGGUAACACGUAGGAGGCGACGGUUAUCCGGAUUUACUGGGCGUAAAGCGCGUGUAGGUGGUACUGUAAGUAGGGCGUGAAAGCUCCUGGCUCAACUGGGAGAGGCCGUUCUAAACUACAGAACUAGAGGAUGGUAGAGGGAGGUGGAAUUCCAGGUGUAGCGGUGGAAUGCGCAGAUAUCUGGAGGAACACCGGUGGCGAAGGCGGCCUCCUGGACCAUUCCUGACACUCAGACGCGAAAGCUAGGGUAGCAAACGG
rnacentral:rRNA from 1 species